rnacentral:lncRNA from 1 species
AUUGAAAUAAAUCCGCAUAUACUAGAGUUUGUUUCCUUUUUUCAUGAUGAUGUUGCAGAUGAGGGAGAAACAGUGAAGGGUUCUUGUUCUUCACAGGUGAGCAUAUCAUGAGGACCAGCUUCUUCUCGGCCAACUCCCAAAAGGUCAAGGUAAUAAAGGUAAUGAGAGAUCAUAUUGUUCAUGGAAUCACUAUCACCUUGACCACAAACUUGGUCACCAUAAAGAACAUUCAUGGUGGUUCCAAAACCUGGAACCCUCUUGGCCAAGGUGUCGUUCUUGGUUGGUUUCCAGUUGCCAACGAAAACGUCAUGGGCUGAGGGUUGGUGUUUCUUCAUCGGCGUCAUCCACCUCCACAUUGCUGUCUGGAAAGCCAAGGUUGCGUUGUCUUCUAAGUAUUCUGGGUGGUUCAACAAGUCCACCUUCAAAGCCUCUCCAGUUUCCCCAUAGUUGUAGUUCCAGUAGAUAGGCAAGGCACCACGGCCAUGAUAUGAGACUCCUGGUGUGCAAGGAUAGGUGUAUUUAUAGUAAUCAUCGCAAUAUAUUUUGCUAGGGCUCAUUUCUUUGUUGUAGCAAAGACCCCAAGCCAAUGGUCCCCCGGUAGCGACUCCAUAGCCACCUGAAAUUAUUAUAAACCAGAGCCAUUGUUCAAGAAUAACAAACAGUUAGAUAAGCCACAUUCGUUUACAUUGCUCUUGGAUGAUCAAAAGUAAUAUUAAACACUUUUAACUAAGCACAUAUUUACUUACAUGAAGUUUUGCUGCCGACAUGUCCAAGAAAAGCAGCGACUUCCUUCAUAUUCUGGAGCUUUUCCCCGGUGGUACAAAAUCCAUGAGGCUGAUACUGAGCAGCAGCAGUAAUGAAGGAAUGGUAAUCCCAGAACCCAACCGCAUGUGCUACCGGCGUGUUACGCUUCGCAAAAAGGUCCUCAAACUGGUAAGUUUGGAAGUAAUCAGAAAUGGUAUGGUUGCAACAAUACUUUGACCACCCUUUACAUUCCCACCCUUUGUCACACAGCUUCUUGCCCUUUACCAUCUUCACCAAUGGCUUCAACGAUUCCUGGCAGUUGGCCAGUGCCACCAGCAUUGCCGCCACUGAAAAAAGAACCAGCCAUUUGGCUUCCAUUAUCAAAGAUACAAAGCAAAAUGUGGUGGUCGUGGUUUGGGUUUGGAGUGGAGAAACCAACACUGGGAGUUUAUAGUAAAGAUUCGGCGAAUGUUUUUGAGUGCUGCAGUGAAAGUGUUAGAAAGUGAGGUUAGAACUGAUUAGGGGAAGGGCGAUUUUCAGGGUUGAUGAAUGAUGGGCACUCACACUCACACUAGUGUCAAGUUUUGCUUGCGUUUUAUGCUUCUUAGAGUGCAAGCAACGAAAAGCUUAAAGCAAAAUGUUGAUGUUCUAUUCUUACUCUGCACACUUGGCUUGGCUUCUAGGAUUCAUCGGUUCGGUUUUAAUCAGUUCUGGAUGAGAUAAAUUUUUUUUUUUUUUCAAAAUAUGAGCUUAAUUCAAAUCGCCAUUUUUAUCGUUUUAGAUUAUUGAUUAAUUUAUUUUUAAAAAACAGUUUUAUAUAACAUUUUAAAAUUAUUUUUAAAUUUAUGAACCGAAACCAAAAUCAAACUAAAUUUAAUAAAAUUGAAUCAGACCCUGGAAUUACUUUUCAAUUUUUCCAUUUCUUUCCUCAGCCCUAGACUGGCUUGGACCUGGACCACUUGGGGUUUUUUUGGGAUUCAUAAUUCAUUGUACUGAAACUUUUGCUUUUGGGCCAAAUACUUCUCAUGGGCUGGAUGAAAACAGUGUUUGGUUACUCUCAACAGGGGAUGAUGUCAUAUUUGGUAUCUAUUCUUUUAUAAAAUGUUUCAAUAUGAUAUUUAUAUUUUGAAAAUUUUUAAUGUAAUACUUGAACUAUCAAUUUAUGUAUUAUUUGGUAUUUUUAUUUUCAUAAAAUGAUUGAUAUUAUAUACUUUAAAAAUAUUAAAUGUGAUGCAUAAAAUAUCAAUUUGUGCAUUAUUAUAAUACAUAAAAUUAACACCCUAAAUAAAUCAUAUCAAGCCAAUUUCUUUUCGAGAUUUCGAAUGUUGAAAUGUUAGAAGACUAUGGAGGAUUUGCAGUUCUCAUUGUUAAAACAAAUUUUCAUCGAUGUUGAACGCUGGUCUCAGUUCCAUUUCAUACGUUUUCGCACAACUUGGAUUGAAGUUACAGGCGCUCCUUAGCACGCUUGGAACCUAGAGACGUUCAAAAGCGUUGCUAUUUAUUAGGGUGAUUUUAUUUCCAUGGAGUCUAACUCGCUUAAUAUCGGCUAAUCAGUUAAAACAAAUUGAGGAACUCAUUAUUCUUGAAUGUGGAGAUGAACAAUUUCCGAAGUUGGGGAUUCACAGCCUUUGAAUCUGGAGGUGGACGUGCUAAAUUUUCAUAAGGUCAUUUUGAUUUUGCUAAAGAAGAUUCGUCUGGUGGUGAAAGGAGUUGAGAGGUUGAAGAUACAUUUAAUGAAGAGGUGGGUAGUGAAAAACCCAAUAUGGCAGCUCGAGAGGUUCUAGGAAAUCAAAGGAAUUAGCAGAGAACUUAGACCCAACUAUUGCUAUUGCCUCGAGAAAUGAUUAGAACGAGGCUCUGGGCCUGAUUUGUUGAAGGCAAGUUCACACUUUGGUCACGAUCAAAUGGUGGGUUGCGGAGCAGAUUUGAAAGCUGUGAAUUGGUCGGCUGAGGAGAUUGUUGAUACGAAUUUAAAUAUGAUUGAACCUAAGUGGACUUGGGUUGUCAGAAAGGGAACAAUUCGGGUCGCGAAACCCUUUGCAAUUCGUUAGUUAGGAGUCCUACAAGUAGAGUUAGGGUGGAGGACUCCAUGGGAGUAGCAAUGCAAAACACUGUAGUGCAUAAUCCCUAUUCGACGAUAAUUACUGUUGAUGGUGUGAAGAAGAAGGUGAGAUCAUUGGCAGAGAUUGAAGAGAAAGUGAUGACUUUGGUUAAAAAAAAAAAAAGAAGCAAAAACGUAGAGGUAGAAAACCAAUCAUAUCUAAAGGUGUGGUGUCUGGUGAAGAAGCAAAGAACGGAUGAUCGUAUUGUUAAUGGUUCCCUUACUGACUCUGUCAUUGGGAAUCGCAAGUAUAGUGAAGGAAGCUAAGGAAACAUUUCAAUUUGCGAAGCUGCUCGAGGUGAAUGCGAGUGAUAGUGAGGAUUUAAUUAUCAUUGAGGAUCAAGAAGCUGGAGUUUCAGAUAUGAGUACGAAGAUGUUUCAUCUCUAGAAAAUGUUUGGGGUGUUGGGAAGGUGUCAUAAAGUAGGGUAAUCAACGUUUUAGUGUUGUGUACCCAUUUAUGAUAUGGUGAUGAUGCAUGUUUUAUGCAAUACAAAAUUGUUAAGGUGAAGGAAGCUCACUGAAUUGAGUUUGCGACUUUCUUUGUCCUGACUUGGGUUGUGAAUAAUGGGGUUGGUUUGGAUAUCCCUUUAUGUUUUUCUUCGGCAGGGAUCGUUUUGGUGUUACUUUUGAGACUCUUGAUUUGUAUGUUUUUUGGUGUUUAUUUUGAGGUGGGUCACAUAUGUUGAUAUUGCAUUUGGAUUUUUCCUACUCUACUUUCUAUGGAUAUUACUAAAAUUUUAUUUUUUGUCACUAAAAAAACUAUAAUUAAUAAAAAUUUGACACAUGAAUAAUAUAACAUUACAUAAAAAUUUAAAUAAAAUAAAAUAACUAAUUCUAAACAACAUAAAUUUAACUUUAAAAAAAAUUUAAUUUCAUUGUUUGAGACCUUUGUUAGAAGAGAUAAGUUUAACUUUGAAAAAAAAUCAAUUUCAUUGUUUGAGAUUUUUCUUAGAAGAGAUUUGAAAAGUAAGGCAGUAAUAGGUUUGUUCUUGUAAUUUUAACUCAUAAUUUUUCCAUUUUUUAAAAAACCCUAAAUUUGUCAAAAUAUUUUGAAAUUUAUACAUGUCGAAGUUUUUUAAAUUUUAUGUCUCUUAACUUGAAUAGAAAGUUAAAUAAUUUAAUUUCGACUACCAUAAUAUUCUCUGAAUUAUGUUUCUAAAAUAUGUGGGUUCAUGUUAAGCAAAGAAAGUGAAGUUUUUUAAACAACAUUUGGUUCAAAUUAAGAUCAAAUUUCUGUAAUUAGGAUUUCAUGUGUAGCAACUUUAAUUUCAAGUGAGAAAGAUGAAUUUAGUAUUUAUUUUAAUGGAGAAUAUGAUAUAUUUUUUUCUUAUGGAAGUGGUUUAUUUACUUCCUUUUAUUAACUAUACCUGGUUUAGGUUUAAGUUUAGUUAUUUGUUUUUUUUUAUAAUUUAAUUUAAUUUUUUUUGUUUUAUUUAGUUUCCACAUAAUUAUAUAUUAUCCAUAUGGAAUUUAUGACUUGGAAAAAGAAAAGUUUCCACAUGUUGAAUUUUAAUUGGUUAGUUUAGCAUUCACUAACAAUGUUAAUUCCAGGUACUAUAAUAACACACAAAUUCAUAGUUUAGGUACUACAUUUGACAUUUUCAAAGUACAGGCAUUAUGUUGGACAUUUUAUGAAAGUACAUGUAUCAAAUAAUACACAAAUUGAUAAUACAUAUACCAUAUUGGACAUUUGAUAAAAGUACAAGCAAACGUGAUAUUAUCCCUAAUGUAAAAUUUUGUUUUUAGGUUAAAAUAUGUUAUAAGUCUUUGUAUUCUUCGUAAAUUUGAAAUUUAAUCCAUAUACUUUUAUUAAUUUAAAAUUCAUAUCAAAUUGUUAUGAUUGUUAAAAUUUCUUUGUUGAAUUUGUUGGUAUGACAUUUUGAAAUAAUAAAAAUACUUAUUUGAUAGUCAUGUAACUAAAAAAAUUACCGAAUUCGAUAAAAGAAUUUUAAUGGCGAUAAUAAUUAGACUUGCAUUUUUAAAUUAGAAAUUAAAAAAAACUAAAUUCCUUGAAAGAAAAAUAAAAAAUUAAAUUUCAAAUUUAUUAAGAAUAUAUAGACUGAGUAAUUUAAUAUUUAUAUGUUUAAUUUUGAAGUAAAUAGUUAAUUUUUGGGGGGUGAAUUACACAAGAGAAGGGAAAGACCCUAAUAGCAACACGACUAACGUGACUUAAACUCAAAUCACACCUGAAAUAAUAAACACCCUAAUUAUUAGAUCAAUACAUGAAUUUAAAUAAUUAAAAUUUUAACUAUCCGUAAUCUUAGAUGUUAAAAUGAAAUUGCGUUACCAUAUUUUGAAGUAACGAAAAAAAAAACAGAAAUUUGCAAUUUCUAAAUCUUGAAAGUUUUUUACCAUUAUAUUUUUAUGUUCAAUUGUAGUACAAUGUACAGAUCGAUCUAAUUAAUUACUUCAUUCGUAUUAUCAAUUUUAUUAAAGACUAGCUUGUGUUUAUCUGUUGGGGAAAAAAAAGGUGAGAAUGUGUUGUAAUUUUCGAAAAUAUAAAGUACCUCUCCGACUGGACCACACACAUGAAAUGAAAGUAAUUAUGUAUGAAAAUUGAAAAUAUAUGUUAUGUGCGGCAUGCAAUUACGAGGUUCAUUCACACUAGAGCAGGGCCUUUACGAAUGUGACAUAUGGCCGACCUUGCUUUUAAUGGAGUUGGAUGCUUUCUCUUCUUCAUCAAAUGCAUGUAUGUCAAUGCUUUUCUUCCUCAUUUUCAACAAAAUAAGCUCAUUAAAAGAUUAAAUGUCAUUUUCAAUAAAAAAUUUCUUUGAGAAUGACCUUUCUUGAUGUUUUGAUAUCCAAGAGAAAAACCUUUGUUGAGGUAUUCAUAUCCAUUCUUAUUUUGAGAAAAAUGAAUCAUUGUUUUUGGUUGGGCUUUUUCAUCUAAAUAAUAUAAAAAAUAAAAUUAAUAACUAAAAUAAUAUGCUUAUAAGAUUAUUUACUAAAAUGGUAUAAUUUUAUUGGUGUCGUCUGUCAAAUUGGCAGCACCGGAUUCAAAUGCAAUGAUCUAAAGUAUUUAGAGACUUGAUAUGCAAAUUUACCCUUUUGAGUGGCUACUAAAAAAAAGUGAAAGGGUGCCUCCUAACGGUGUGGCGGCACCAAACUUUAAAUGUGACUAAUUACCUUUUAAGCUCUCUUUAUUUAUUAUUUUAUUUUUAUUCCCCUUCAACUCACUACAUUGUAUUUAAACAAGCCCUCAACCUAUUUUUGUAGUUAAAUAAGCUCUUAAUAUAUGAUUUUUACUUAUAAAAGCCUUUUAUUUUAAUAUUAAAGUAAAUAUAUUUUGAAUUUCAAGCUCUUAUCUUUAUUUUUUGUUGAUGCAAUAAAAAUUAUAUACACUUUAACAUCAACAUAAAAUCUAAAAAAGUAAUCAAAAAUUUUAAAAGAGUAGUUAAGAAAAUCAUGUAUUUAAGGACUCUCGAGAAAUUUUAAAAUUUUAUUUUUUUAUUUAAUAAACUAUUCUCAUCAAAUUCACAUAAACAUAAAAUGCGAAUUAGUUUAUAUAUUUUUAAAUAGCUAUACUUUGGGUAAAAUAUAUUUACUUUAAUAUUAAAAUAAAGGGUUUUUAUGAAUAAAAAUCAUAGGUUAAGAGCUUAUUUAACUACAAAAAUAGGUUAAGGGCUUGUUAUUGUUUUUACAAAAAAUAAUUUUUAAUAACAACAAUAUCCUAAACUAACCUCUUUUUUUUUUAUAGAAUAUUAGGCGUGAGAAUGAGGUAACAUAGUUCGAAGUCAUGCUAAAAAUUGUUUAACAAACAUUAUAGGUUCUGAUUAUAUAUAUGUUCUUUUUGACAUAAUGCUUAGAACUUAUAAAAGUUGUGUGACCCAAAUUCUAAUAGAUUGCUUGCAAGUCAAGUUAAACAAAAUAUAUUUUUUUCUAGAAGAUUUAGUAUUUAUGAAUAUAAUAUAUUUAGCAUUUAUUAGCAUAAUAUAUUUGACUUUGAUUAGAAUUAGGAUUUUUCAACUUAUAAAUAGAUGUAGUCGAAACUCUUCUUGUAAUCAUUUUUCGAAUUCAAUAUAGUGAAUUUUCUUUUUCUCUGCCCGUGAUUUUUUUCCCAAACGGGUUUCCACAUAAAAAUCUGUGUGUAACGCCCCAAUUUUCGGGAAUUCUGUAAAUGUUGGCAUAGGCUUAAUUAUGUUAGUGGACCUUUAGAAGGCCCAAGCUUAAGAUAGAACCUGGCAAUUUUAGUUAAUUUUUGUUCCAUAAGAAAAAGGGGGUAAAAUUAUGAAAUAGAACCUAUGUGAAAAAUGUUUGAAAAUGCUAUAGGCUAAAUUGAAGUGGCCAAAUAAAUAGGAGUGCAAAAUAGGAGGAUUUGCAUGACAAACCUCACAUUUUACAUGAAGUGGCCAGCCAUCAUGUUGUUGUAGACAAUAUGAGCACUUGAUAUCCAUAAUUCAUGGUACAAAUUGAUAAUGGGUUAGGUAAAUGUUCCAUGAUAAUGGAUUAGGUAAAUAUUCCAUGAUAACGGGUUAGGUAAAUGUUCCAUGAUAAUGGUUUAGGUAAAUGUUCCAUGAUGGGCAUUUCAUGUCUUUUGUAUUAAAGAAUUAAAUGGAUGAAAUAUGAAAUUUUAUUAAAAGAAAAAAGGGGUGAAAAGAAUAAAGUUUGUCCAUCUUUGUUCAUCAUGGCCGAAAGUUAGAGAAGAGAAAGGAGAGGAGAAAGCUCUUGAAUGUUCGGUCACUUGGGGAAGAAAAUUGAAGGUAAGUUCAUGGUAGUUUGCUUCUAUCUUGAUGUUCAUGAGUUCUUCUUGAUUCUACCUUAACUCUUGAAGCAUAUUUUGGUUUUUAGUUGUGUUGUGAGCAUUUAGUCAUGAAUUAAAAUGAAGGAAAUGGUUGUUGUUUCAUGUUCUUCUGAUGAAAAAUGGAAGAUAGGUGAAGUUGAGCCAAACAAAUGAGCAUGCAUGUGUCUUAGAUGCUAAGGGGAAAAAUCAGCUAACAUGUUGUGCUUUAAAAUGAUGAAAUGGAGAUUAUACUUAAGUAAAAUCAUAGAUAUGUGAUGAUUGAUUGGUGAUAUACAUGUUUAAAUAACAAGCAUACAAGUUAGGUGUGAAAGAGUGAUUUGGUAAUAAAUCUGCUUGGGACAGCAGCAGUAAUGUGACUUUGGAAAAUCACCAUAAAUUGUGAGAGAUGAGUUAGAAGGUGAAUAAAUUAUGUAAUUAAAGCUUAAUGAGUCUAGUUUCAAAUGAAAUAAACGAGAACAUAUUUUGAAUUCUGUACAAUGAGAAAUUUGAUUCGUAAUGAAGAGUGGUCAGAUUAGUCAAACAGUGAAACAUGGGAAACUUUGAGAAAUAUCUGGUAUUGAUUGGCUAAACCAAAAAUUCUGAAAAUUUUAUGGAUAGAAGAUAUAUCAGUCUAUUUUCAGGGAAAAUUAAUGGAACUUGAUUUGGAGUUUCGUAGCUCCAGUUAUAAAUAAUUUAGUGACUGUUGCUCAGGAAGACAACUUGUAGUGAAAUUUUGAUUAUGUGGUAAACAUUGACAAAAAAUUUGUUAAUGAGUUGCUUAUUGAUUUCUUAUAAGCUUACUAUGAUCUGUAGGUGUGGUUGGCCGAAUAUUGUAAGGGGUUAAUACGUAGUUCAUAUUUGAAUAGUUAGAUUAACGUGUUAGUAAUCCAAUUGUAGGCGGUUCGUGUGUGGAUCUCGUCAGCAUAUCAUCGCAAACAGGUGUGUAACUAGCACCCUCUUAUAGACUAGAUCGGCACAAGACGAAAAGCCGAAAUGCCGAAAAGCCGGUAUUUUGAGAUCUUACGAGUGUGUGAAUGCUCAUGAGAUUAAUAGUUUGAUGUAUAUGGUAAAUUAAAGUGAUAAGACUGCAGAGUGCGCGAUUCUGUGCAUUUCGAUAUUUUUGGGCUUAAUGGGCCAAAAACGGGAUAACGGGCCAACGGACCCAAAUUGGUAAGAAAACGCGGUAAGUGUUUCUGAUCGUACGUAAAUGGCUAUGUUAUGUAUGAAAACCUUAAGAAUAGUUAAAUUACUUGAAUACCCCUAUGUAUGCAAAACUACCAUUAUACCCCUAGGGUUAAUUUUGACUGAAAAGCAUGACGAUCUGAUUCUGUAUAAUGUAUGCCAUGAUUAUAUAUCAUUGCAUGGGGACUUGGGUUAUACUAUGGAGGAAGCGUCCUGGUGGCUAUGCCAUAAUUAUCUGAUCUGGUGGCUCUGCCACAUAUAUCUGUCCUAGUGGCUAUGCCACGAUUAUCUGAUCUGGUGGCUCUGCCACAUAUAUCUGUUCUGGUGGCUCUGCCACAAUAUCUAUAUCUGGUGACUUCGUCACAAUAUCUGGCAGCCUCGCUGUGAUUUCUGUGGUGUGAAGCGGUUGAGUGGGUCGAGUAGUCUCUCCACAUGGUGUAAGGCUGGUAUGGGGGUGUUAUGGAUGAAUCUGGGUUGGGUUUCUGCAUAAACAUGUAAUAUAUGUUCUAUUCUGUUAUGGGCCUAUGGGCUUUAUUCUGAAUUCUGUUCUAGGCUAAGGCCAACUUAUUCUAUUUUUGUGGUUUGAGCUGAUAUAGGCUAUGGUUGGGUUAAUUUACACACUAAGUUUUCCCAAACUCACCCCUUUUAUUUCCAUCCACGCAGGUAAUCCCCAACCAUAGUGGGCUUGGAGCUGUGAGGGAAUUUGGAGUGGCCACCCGUUCUGAAAGUUUGAUUUACUUCUGGUGAACUGGACAUCCUUUUAAUGACGUUUGAGGUUUUAGGCUUUUAAAUGUAAUAAGGCCGCUUAUUUAUUUUUGAUGGUUUUUAUAUGUUUUAUUAAGAUAGGUAAUAUUUAUAUUUAACUGUUGAAAUUGGAUAGCUUUAGGGCGCGUUUUCAAAAACAACAAUUGGUUUUAAAAUAACACGACAACAAGCAAAGCUUCCUCAAUGAAAGUAUUUUCCAAAAUUAAUCAUUUUCCUAAAAAUUACUUAAUCAAAUCGGUUUCCUAGAAAUAUCCAUAACGUUAAGGUGUGGCAAUGGCGGUAUGCAUGUCUAGGAUUGGAUCCGAAGGGAGCUUGGUACUUAAGCAGUCCGAUGGACUCACCACAUCUUUUCUAGUUUCCUACCUGGUGCACAGCUUCCAUUCACUUUAACCUAUAAUGAAAUUAUCUUUUAAAACACUAAGUAAGUUUUUCUGGAUCAACAAUAUAAAAUGUUUUGAACGCUUCGAUGUGGCAUGUCGGAUCCGGUCAUAACGUCUGGGCCGGGUUUGGGGUGCUAUAUUGUGUGUUCUUAAUUUUUAUUUCUCUUUUCUUUGCGAUAUAUUGUCAUUACCGACGUUCUAUUCUUUACAAGGUGGUAUCAAAGCUUAUGGGUUGUUCAUCUCGAUCACGGUAAUGACAUCUUUGAAGUAUGAAAUUCAGCUGUUGGAUUGCAACACCAGAUUUGCGUUGUGGAAGAUUAAUAUGCAAGCAGUUCUUGCGCAGAUAGAUCUAGAGGAUGCCCUGCUAGGGAUAGAUAAGAUGCAUUCAACAUUAAUGGAUGAAGAGAAAAAGCGUAAAGAUCGAAAGUCAUUAACACAAUUAUAUCUGUAUUUGUCUAAUAAAAUUUUGUAAGAUGUGAUGAAGGAGAAGAUCGCCGCUGUAUUAUGAAAGAAGCUGGAACAAAUAUGUAUGUCGAAAACUCUAACCAGCAAGUUGUAUAUGAAGCAACGUCUUUAUGCUCUCGUUUGGAGGAAGGUGCGUUUGUUCACGAACAUUUAACAGUGUUUAAAGAAAUUUUCUCAAACUUGGAAGCCAUGGAGGUUCAGUAUAAUAAGAAAGAUUUAGGGUUGAUUCUACUUUGUUCGUUGCCUCCGUCUUAUUCAAUUUUUAGAGACACGAUUUUAUAUAGUUGUGAGUCUCUCACAAUUAAUGAGGUUUAUGAUCUUUUGACCUUGUAUGAUAAGAUGAAGCAUCUUGUGGUUAAACCAGACUCUAAGGGAGAGGGUCUCAUUGUUCAUGUGAGACAAGAUCGAAAUGCUGAUGAUGAUCGUGGAAGGAUACAGGAUCGGAAUCCUCAUAGUAUAUUUUAGGGUAGAUCGAAGUCUUCAAAUAAAGGUAAAACUUAUAACUUUUGCAAGAAGAAAGGGCACAUUAAAUCUGAGUGCUAUAAGCUAUAGAACAAGAUCAAAAGGGAGGCUGCGAAUCAAAAGGAAAAAUAACCAGAAAAUUUCGGUAAAGCUGAUGUUGCAGAAGACUACAGCGAUGGUGAACUUCUAGUCGUUUCUGUCAAGAAUUCUAAAGUGAGCGAGGAGUAGAUCCUUGAUUCGGGUUGCACCUUUCACAUGAGUCUCAAUCAGGAUUGGUUUACAACUUACAAAACAGUGUUUGAAGGUGUUGUUUUGAUGGGAAAUAAUGCUUCGUUUAAAAUUGUAGGUGUUGGAACAAUUAAAGUUAAGAUGUUUGACGAAGUUGUCAGAACACUUAGUGAUGUGCGACAUGUUUCAGAAUUAAAGAGAAAUUUAAUUUCGUUGAGUACUCUUGAUUCAAAAGGGUAUAGAUACACAGCUGAAAGUGGGGUUUUGAAUAUUUCCAAAUGUUCCAUUGCUUGAUGAAAGGGCAAAGAAAGACUGCCAAGUUAUAUGUUUUGCAGGAUUCUACUAUUAUUGGUGAUGCAACUGUCGCUUCCUUUUCCUUUUCAGAUGAUGAUAUUACUAAACUUUGGCAUAUGCGUCUAGGGCAUAUGAGUGAGAAUGACAUGAAAAAAUUGACCAAAAGAGGACUUCUUGAUGGGCAAGGAAUUUGCAAACUGAAUUUCUGUGAGCAAUGUGUUUUUGGAAAGCAAAAAAGAGUUCGAUUCACCAGAGGAAUCCAUAACACGAAGAGAACGUUGGAGUAUAUUCAUUCUAAUCUGUGGGGGCCAUCUAGAGUGCCUUCAAGAGGUGGAGCUAAUUAUAUGCUAACCUUUAUUAAUGAUUUUUCUAGAAAAGUUUGGGCGUUCUUCUUGAAGCAGAAAAGUGAUGUGUUUUCCACAUUUAAGUCUUGGAAAAUUAUGAUUGAAAAAUAGACUGGAAAAUAAAUAAAAUACCUCCGUACAAACAAUGGAUUAGAGUUCUAUUUUGAUGAGUUUAAUAGAUUGUGCAAGUCAGAAGGGAUCGUAAGACACUUAACAAUUCGCCAUACUCCAUAGCAAAAUGGCGUUGUAGAACGAAUGAACAGAACGAUCAUGGAGAAGGUUCGAUGUAUGUUUUCAAAUGACAACUUAUCAAAGUUGUUUUGGGCCGAAGCAACCUCUACUGCAUGUUUUUUGAUCAACCGAUCCCCAUCCGUUGCCAUUGAGAAAAAGACUCCACAAGAGGUAUGGUCUGGUAAUCCUGCUAAUUAUUCUGAUUUAAAGAUCUUUGGGUGUCCUACGUAUACUCAUGUUGAUAAUGGAAAAUUGGAACCGAGAUCCAUUAAAUGUGUUUUUCUUGGUUAUAAAGUUAGUGUAAAAGUGUAUAAGUUAUGGUGUCUUGAAAAUAAAAAAGUUGUAAUUAGCAAAGAUGUUGUUUUUGAUGAAACUGCUAUGCUACCUUACUUAUCUCUUAAAGACUCUUCCAAUAAAGAAAAUCAAAAGCAGGUGGAGCAUCAGAUUACUACAGAGUCGACUCCUCAAUCCAGUACAAAAAUUGAGAAUAGAGUUGCUUAUUCACCGCAAUACUCUAUCGCCAAAAACAGAACUAGAAGAGAAAUUAAACCUCCAAAGAAGUAUGCUGAGGCUGAUCUAGUUAGUUAUACUUUAAAUGUGGCUGAAGAUAUAGAUGCGAAUCAAGAACCAUCUAAUUAUUCCGAGGUGAUUAGUUGUGAAGACUCAGAAAAGUGGAUGUUUGCUAUUGAAGAGGAGAUGGAAUCACUCCACAAAAACAGAACAUGGGAUCUUUUAAAACUUCCUAAAGGUAAAAAGGUUGUCCGUUGUAAAUGGGUAUUUAAAAAGAAAGAACGGACUCUAGGAGUUGAAGAACCCAGAUAUAAAGCAAGGCUUGUUGCAAAGGGUUACAGUCAAAUUCCAGGAGUGGACUUCACAGAUGUGUUCUCCCCACUUGUUGAGCAUAGUUUGAUUCGAGCUUUGCUUGGUAUUGUGGUCAUGUAUGACUUGGAGCUUGAGCAGUUAGAUGUAAAAACUGCAUUUUUGCAUGGAGAAUUUAAGAAGAAUAUUUACAUGUAACAACCAGAGGGUUUUACAGUCUCAGAAAAAGAGGACUACGUUUGCUUGCUUAAAAAGUCCCUUUACGGUUUGAAACAGCCACCAAGACAGUGGUACAAGAGGUUGAUUCCUUUAUGACUUCUCACGAUUUCAAAAGAAGUAGUUUUGACAGUUGUGUUUACUUUAAGAAAAGCAGUGAUGGUUCUUUUGUGUAUCUACUUCUUUAUGUUGAUGACAUGUUGAUAGCAACAAAAGAUAAAUGAGAGAUAAGAAAAGUCAAAACCCAACUAAGUGAAGAAUUUGAGAUGAAAGAUUUAGGACCAGCAAAGAAGAUACUUGGUGUGGAGAUUCUCAGAGAUAGAAAAGCAAGUAAAUUAUACCUAAGUUAGAAGUGGUACAUUGAGAAAGUUCUUUGCAGGUUCAAUAUACAGAGUGCUAAGCCUGUUAGUACUCCUUUAGUAGCCCAUUUCAGACUUUCAUCGAGAUGAUGAGAUUGAGUACAUGUCACAUGUUCCAUACUCUAGUGCAAUGGGAUCUCUCAUGUAUGCUAUGGUUUGUUCACAUCCAAAUUUAUCAUAUGCAGUUAGUGCAGUUAACAGAUAUAUGGCGAAUCCCGGUAAAGAACAUUGGAAAGCAGUUCAGUGGAUUUUAAGAUAUUUACGAGGAACUACUGAUGUUUGCUUACAGUUUGGAAGAACUAAAGAUGGAGUAAUUGGGUAUGUUGAUGCUGAUUUUACUGGAGACCUUGAUAGAAGAAGACCUCUCACAGGUUAUGUCUUUACAAUCGGAGGUUGUGCAAUUAGUUGGAAAGCCACUUUGCAAACUACAGUCGCUUUAUCUACCACUGAAGCUAAGUACAUGGCGAUUACUGAGGCUUGUAAAGAAGUUAUUUGGUUGAAGGGACUCUUUAGUGUACUCAAUGAAGAUCUUCAAAUCAGCACAGUAUUUUGUGACAGUCAGAGUGCCAUCUUUCUUACAAAAGAUCAAAUGUUUCAUGAGAGAAAAAAACACAUUGAUGUUCGGUAUCAUUUUGUUCGUGAUAUUAUUGCUCGUGGUGAUAUUGUUGUGAGCAAAAUUAGUACUUAUGAAAAUCCUGCAGAUAUGAUGACUAAGUCACUUCCUAUAACCAAGUUUGAGCAUUGCUUAGACUUGGUUGGUGUUCAUUGUUGAAGUUAAACCCUUAAGGGGUUUUAUGGAAGAGGUGGAGAACUUGUUCGUUGAGAGUUCGCGAUGAAGAACUUGUUCAUUGAGAAUUUGUGUCAAGGUGGAGAUUGUUAAAAUUAAGUGACCCGAAUCCUUAUUAAAUAAAAUACAGUGGUAAAAUAAAAUAAAAGAAGAAUCCAUAUAUUUGAUAUUUAUUAGAAUAAGGUGUUUCAGUCUUACUAGAAUAUGGCUUUACAAGCCUAUAAAUAGAUAUAGUCUAUUCCUCUUAUAAUUAAUUCGAAUUCGACAUAGUGAAUUUUCUUCUCCUCUACCUGUUGUUUUUUCUCGAAAGGGUUUCCACGUAAAAAUCUGUGUGUUCUUUAUUUUAUUUUUUUAAACACUUUAUAAUUUAAAAGUGAAAAAUAGUAGGUAAGAAAUAAAUAGAGGAAGGUACGAUUACAUGAUUUAAUAUGACAUCUUUGGAGGCUCUUGUACUAAGAGUUGGAUUGCAUUUUGCUCUUUCUAUUAAAAAAUGGGCAAAAUAGUCUUUAUAUGUUAGAUCAAAGAGCAAAUUGGACCUUCUGUUAAAAAUUAUAUCUAUUUUUACCAUUAAAAACUAGUCUAUAUACGUUAGCAUAAGGAGACUUGGUUAUUUCGUCAGUUUUGCCAGUUUUAACUGUAUAAAUAGAAGAAAUUUUUAACAUAAAUUUUUAACAGAAAUGACUAAUUUACUCUUUAUUCUAAUAUAAUAUAUAAAGACUAAUUUUAAGUAAUAGAAACAAAAUAUAAUUAAACUUAUAGUAAAUAAGUCUCGCUAAUACUUUUACCCAUCUAUCUCAAAUUUAUUUAAGCUUAUACAUCAAAAUAGAUUUCAUUGAUAACUCUCAUCAUAUUUAGGUCCUUAAAAUUUGUUUCGGUAAAUAUUAUACAUAAACUAUGGACGUAUUACACAAAAUGAUUCAAUCAUUACCUUUUUUUUUUUUAAUUUCUUAACCAAUUGUAUUAUGAUACAAGGCAUUUUCAAGUAAAUAAAAAAAUAAGUAAAUUUAAUAUUAUUUUUUUCAUCUUCUUCUUCCUCACCAUCUCCGGCCCAGUCAUCCGUUCUAUCUAGCAAUCGGAUGAGACAAGGCAUGAGCUUUAGGUGAAUUGAUUUUGGAUCUUUUAACUUGAUGAUGGGGUGGUUCUGAUUGUACUUAGUAUGUUUUUGCUGAGAUAAAGGGUGUUUAGGGGUGGGACUUGAGUUUGUGGGGGUUUUAUUAAACCAUUUAUGAGGGGUUUUCUGAUUCUUGUCCUUGGAUUCACAGGCUUAAUUCCACAGUUUUAAGGGAAGUUGUAACGAGAUGGAUGGUGUCUGGACAGCCAUGACAUGCUUGUAAUUGCUGAUUAUUGAUAAAAAUUUUAUUUGAAAGAGAUAAAAAAAAAAAAGCAGCAUGCAAAGCAAUAUUUGCAGUGGAAAUGAGCUACUUGAGGGAGGAGGAAGAAGGAGAAGAAAGAGAAAGAGAGAAAAUGUUAUAAAUAUAAUAUUAAUUUGAUAAUUUAAUUUAAUUUUUUAUUUGUAAUUUAAUUUUUUAUUUAAUAAAAAUGUCACAUUGAUUAAGAUAUAUAUAUAUAUAUAUUAAAAAAGUAACGAUUGUACCAAAAUUAAAAUUUAAAUACCACUUUAAAAAAUGAAAUAUAUUAAAUGAGAAAACAUUAUAAUUUAGAAAUCAAUUUUUUAUAUAAGCAAUAAAUAUAUAUUAAUAUAUCAACCACCAGCUUAACUCAAAAUUCAACUAUAUUUAAUUAAUGAUUUAAAAUUUGGGUUGUCAUUUUCAAACGAAAUAUAGAAUCAUGAAAUAUAAUAUUAACAUCAAGGAUGAUUAAGAUAAUUGUGUUCAAUUUAAUUAAUAUAGUUUCUUUUGUUAAAUACUUUAUAUAUGUAUAUAUAUUUAUCAAAUUUCAUAAACGUAAGGUGUAGUUAUGGUCUCAAUCUCCGUGUUCUUCCCGACAAUGAAGUUUAGUUAUCUACUUUUAAUUUUAAGUAGGUUUAAUGUUCACUUUUAUCCUUAAAUUAUAUUUGCCUUUUUUUUGGUACCUAAUCUUUUUUAGGGUAAACUGUAUUAAUUGUCCCUAAAUUUUAUUUAGAAUUAUAUUUUAGUUAUUCAACUUUCAAAAGUUACAUACUAGUCAUUAAUAUUAUUAAAUUGUUAUAUUUUUGUCACUUAGUUGUUAACUUUCAUUAAACAAACAACGUUACACCUUAAGUCAAAGAGUUAAAUAGCUAAUUUAGUCCUUGAACUACAGUUAAAAAAUCUUAUUUUAAUAUUUUUAAAAUUUUCUUAACAAUAUUAUAAAAAAUUAAAAUAAAAAAUCUUGAACUAAAAAUUAUUAGAAAAUCCAUAAAAUAGUUAAAAAUCAUAUAUUUUUAAAUAUAAAAAUAUUUAAAUAUGUAUAGAUUUAAAAAAUUUUAAAUUAUCAUUUCUUGUAAUUUUUUAUUAUAUAAAAAAAACUUAAAAUCUUCAAACUAAAUUCCAUUUGUUUUACACUAUUGAUGAACAACUUGAUGUUGUUUUACCCAUAAAUUGUUUUGCAAAUUUUAUUUUAUUUUAUUUCUCAAAUCCUUAAAAGCCCUAGUAAAAUAAAUUUUAAUGCAAGAUUCAAAUUUCACUAUUAGAUCGAUUGUUGCUGUUCAAGUUUUCAAGAAACAAAAUCUAGGCUUGCAACACUGUUUUUAUUCUUAAGAAUCAUAAAAUCUUUUAUCAUCAAUGACCUAUUUGCAAGAUUUUCUUGAUAAUUAUGAAAAGAAAAAAAUUUAAAAAAGAAGAAGGCAAGAGAGAAGAGCAAAAUGUUCUAUUAUACCAUAUGAGUUCUUUGGUAAGUUUCAAUUUUUUGAAACUUUUUAUUUUUCUUUUAAUUUAUAAUAUAAAGUACCCUAUUUUUCUAAACCCAUUAUUUCUUUUAUGUAACUUCAGUUACUAGAUUGAUUGGGUUUUUUUAAUGACUUUUAGUUUUGAAAUUUUGGAAUUUUUAAAUUUAUAAUGCAAAGUGCUCUUCUUCUUUUUCAAACCCACAAUUUCUUCUUUCUAAUUGCAUGGUAAAUAAAACAUAUAUGAAGAGAGUGUACCAACAAAGCAAAUGAAGAAACGAGUUAGAUGGAAGUGAAUAAGUAUUUAAUGUUUUCUAUUUUUGAAAAAAAUUAGUUGCAAAAUUCUUGAUUUUUCUUUGUUGCAAUUAAUUUUUUUUAAAUACUUUUUAUUUUUAUUUUACAAUUAUUAUUAAAAAUUUUAAAAAUAUUAAAAUGAUUUUUUAAUUAUAACUUAAGGACCAAAUUAGCUAUUAGCACUUUGAAGAUGCAACGUUGCCUUUUUAAACGAGUGACAAAAAUGUAACAAAUUUAUAAUGGUAAUGAUUAUUAUGAAUCUAAAAUGAAAAUUUAGGGAUAAUUGGUGUAGUUUCUUUUUUUUAUCCUACUUUGAAAUGUGCAAUGAGUAAUGAGUAAUGAGAAAUGAGCAUAGGGAUUGAGAGCAGAAUUGGAACUAAAAAGUAACAGAAAGGAGAAAAGCAUUUCAGGAAUGGAAACCACUCGUUUAUGAGUAGACCCAGCGUAGAAAUCAAAGGCAUAGGUUCCGACAGCAAAUGCUUGACCAAACUGUAGACUGUUAUCUCCUCCACACAAAAUUUAAAAAACCCCUUUAUUUCAGCAAAUCACUUUUCGGAAAAGAUAAAGGAGAGUCAUCUCAUAAUUAAUAAAUUAAUUUCGAUUAUUUAUUUUAACACCAAAAUUAAUAAUAAUAAUAAUAAUAAAACUUCCAUUUUCCACGCUCCAAGAACACACCCUUCACUUUGCACAAGGUUUUGCUAGGUUUUAGGCUAAAGCUGUUUUCUAUUUUCAUAUUUUAUUAUGAUAACUUCGUUUUUAUGCGUUUAAUGUGAUGAAAUUAGCUUCUUUUUUACGGUGUAGAAAGUUAAUUAAAUCGAAUAUUCUUCUCUCGUAAUCGGAUUUUGGCGAUGGACGGUAGUGGUUCGGGUCAACUCGCCGGCACUGAAAUUCAUGGAUUUCAUACAUUGGAAGGUACCGUACACAGAAUCUAUCUUUUCUUUUAUCUCAUCUAAUUCUGCUUUACUAAUUUUCUCACUCUAGGAGUUUUGUAAAAUAUGUUAAACUUGACGUUUUAAAUUUGUUUAAUUACUUGUAAAUUGCAAAGAAUUCUGGCUUGUUAGCUUUUUGUAAGCAAUUUUCUUACUUUUUGUUUCUAAUUUGUUGAACAAUAGAGGUUCUGUAAGAGUUAUUUUGGCUCUUUGAGAGCUAGAUAAGUAGUUUAAGCUUUGUAUAUGUCAUAGUUAUGUGACUCUCUCUUUUGCUAAUUUUAGUUUCUAUUGAUAGAUUUGGAUGUUCGAACUAUGAUGGAAGAGGCAAAGUCAAGAUGGUUACGUCCAAAUGAAAUUCAUGCUAUACUUUCCAACUACAAAUACUUCCCCAUCCAUGUGAAGCCAGUGAACUUGCCCCAAAGUAACUACUCAUAAUACUCCAUUUUUCAUUACCCCAUUUUUCAUGUUUUCUCGGAUUUCCAUGAAGCAAUAAUCUAUUCCAUGUUUAAUCACGACAAUUCUGAUUGAAUAAAACAAAUUCCUGAGCUUUUACCAUUUUUUCAGUUCUUCUAAGUUUAUAAUAAGAGUUUAUAAACAACUGGCUGUUUGAGAUAAAAUUUGGGCCCCGAUUGAUUAAUGCAUUUGUUUUCCGUUCAUGUUUUAUUAUUUGCCUUUUGGCUUUCUGUACAUUUUUUCUAUUUUGCAAAAAAAAAAAAAAAAAAAAGGCACAAAGAAAGUAUGAAAAUUUAAAGGGCAUCAAUCAAAUGAACACUUAUUUGAUUCAGUAUUUCAUUAGGAUUGCCAAAGUUAUCCAUGCUGCAAUAGAAUGUCUAAGUGUCAUUACUUAUGACUCUAGGAAAUUUUAACUUUGCUUUCAAAUUAACUGUGCUUUCUAUACUUACAUGUAAUGAAUAAGAAGGAAGUCUACCUAUAGAAUCGAUAACUGUAUUCUUGAUGUUGUAGGUGGUACUAUAGUAUUGUUUGACCGAAAGAUGCUCAGAAACUUCAGAAAAGACGGUCAUAAUUGGAAAAAGAAAAAGGAUGGGAAGACUGUUAAAGAAGCUCAUGAACACUUAAAAGUGAGAUUUUCUUGCUUUAUAAAGUCUUAUAAAUUGCACCACCCUGUUAUCUAUACAGCUUAUAUAGCUAAGUGAAUAAAGCACUUUUUCUUUUUUGGGUUGAAAUCCUUGGUUUCUGAAACUGUCCUAUUUUUACAUAUAUCACUUGUUUGUAUUAUAUGUUUGUACAUAAAAAUUGUUAGAUUCUACUGUUGUCUUACACUGCACGCAAUACAUUCAAUGUUCUCUUUGUGCAUUAAGAUUAUCUUAUGUUUUAAAUGUUCCUAUCUCAAGUAUUUGUGGUUUAGAAAGUAGUUUCACUUGUAUAGAAUCUUCUGGUUGCUGUACCUACGCGUUGGCUUGCUUCUUCCUUUCCUUUGUAAAUUUAAAUUUAAAUUUAAUCUCCUCUCCUUAAAUACAUGCAUUUUAUCUCCCAUGCUUUUGAAUGACCAACAUGUAGUUAUUUUGAGAAAGCAUAGAUCAUUGAUAUUUUCAUUGUAUUUCACGUUUCAGGUUGGUAAUGAAGAAAGGAUUCAUGUAUAUUAUGCACACGGCCUAGAUAAUCCAACUUUUGUUCGCAGGUGUUACUGGCUGCUUGAUAAGUAUGUAAUUUAUAUCUAUUUGUUAACCUUCCUAUCUAGUCCCCUCAUUAUUAGUUCUGAAAUAAAAAUCAUGAAAUUUUUUCACUUUAUCUCAUGUUUCAGUGUGUGUUAAUGUUGACAUCAUUAGCCUAAUCUUCUAUUAUGGUUUCUUUUGCUUCAGGACUCUGGAAAACAUAGUUCUUGUUCACUAUCGUGAAACAAAGGAGGUUGGUGUUGAAAUACUUAAAAAUGAAAACUUCGAGAUACUGUCUCCAAAGAUUAUCAGUUCAUUAUUCUUUAUGCCUUGUAAUCAGAUAGUGACCGACAUUUUCCUAUUUAUGGUAAAGUUGCAGGGUUCUCCAGCCACACCUGUGAAUUCAAAUUCCUGUUUAACAACUGAUCAGUCUACUCCUUUGCUUGUCAUGGAGGACUUUGAUUCUGGAGCUGCUAAUGCAUAUUAUGAAGGUGAGAGUCGAAUUUUCUAGAAGUUAAAUUAUGUAAACAAUAAAGGAGUUUCUUAUUUGGCAAGCAAAAGAUAACUCACGAAUAGCAUGUCUUUGUCAUCAUAGUUUUCUCUGCUUAUCAAUACACCAUCUUCUCAUUGAUUACUGUUCUUGAAAGUGAACAGAUCUCUGUGAUAGCAUUAAGGCAAAUCAUGAAAUGACUCUUCAUGAGAUUAAUACGCUUGAAUGGGACGAGCUUCUGGUGACAAAUGAUAGUAAUGACUCGGCUGUAUCUAGUGGAGGUAACCGACUGGUUUAUAGUUGUAUUACCCCCAUUUUAAUUACUGAAUUAUUAACUUAUUUUAAUGUGAUGGCAGACAUGAACGCUUGCUUUGACCAAUGGAACCAAAAAACGGUAAAUGGCCUCUCAAAUGAUGUAAGAAAACCAGUUCAUAGCUUUCAAGUUCUAUAGUUUUUAUCCCUCUAUAAGAAGAGAGCGUUUUUGUUUAUUUUUGUUUUACUUCUUUGUUUUAGCCUGCAUGGCAACUAGCUGUGAUUGUCUUUAUAGGCAGAAGGAGCAUAUUGAAUCUCAUCCAAAUAAUUUUUCCUCAUGCAUACCCAAAAAUAGCAUGCUAGUUAUGCAGAAACCUGUAAGUUACAGAUCUAUUGAAUAAUUUUCUAGAUCUCUGUAGCAUUUAAUAUAUGUUACACGUCUCUAUACAUAUAUGUGGCAUGUGUUAUCUUACAUAGAUUUAUGAGUUUUGCAUGCGUGGAAGCAUCUGCUUGAGGUGUCUUCAUAUUAAUCUAUUAUUUAUUUAUGUUUAUCGUUCAUUUUAGUUUGACAUGUAAGUUAUCAUUUCUGUUUAUGGUGAAGAUCACUUAAAUAUUCUCUUUUGCCUUAUUUUGUAUUACUCUCUUAAUGAUGACCACUCAAGUUGCUUCACUUUUGCAGGGUGGCCCUAUCUCCGCAUAUAAUUCAUCACCGGACAUUUCAUUGCUUGACAAUUUAGUUGAUCCAGUUGCUCAGAGUAAUAAUGCUUACCUCAACACCCGAGGAGGUGUUUGUUAUCAAACACCAGGUACCGAAGUAAAUUCUACUAUGCAGAGGGAAGACUCUAGUGCGAUAGGGAUGGGUAAACCAUUGGACCUUUUGAUCAAUAAUGGUUUAGAAAGUCAGGACAGUUUUGGAAAGUGGAUAAACUGUACUGUGACUGAAUCCCCAUGUUCAAUGGGUGAUCCUGUGCUAGAAUCUUCAAGUUCAUCUGGUCAAGAUUCCUUCACCUCCCCAGAGGAAAUAUUUAGCAUAACUGAAGUAUCACCUGCAUGGGCCUAUUCAACUGAGAAGACAAAGGUUCUCUCUCUCUCUCUGUUUUUGGGUUGAUAGAAAUCACCCCUGCUGUUGCUGCUGCUGCACUCAUUUUAGUAGCAUGCAUGAAUUUUGGUUGUGUUAUGUGUUUUGACUUUUAUUUAUAUAUUAAUUUGCAGAUUUUAGUCACUGGAGUCUUUCAUCAAGCUUAUCAACAUCUUGCUAAGUCCAAUUUGUUUUGUGUAUGCGGUGAUGUAUGCUACCCAGCGGAAACUAUUCAAGUUGGGGUUUAUCGCUGUUUGCUAUCACAACAUGCCCCAGGAUUAGUGAAGCUCUAUAUGAGUCUUGAUGGACAUAAACCCAUCAGCCAAGUUCUCAAUUUCGAGUAUCGUGCUCCUUUAUUGCAUGACCCAGUAGUUCCUCUAGAAGACAAGUCUAGGUGGGAGGAGUUCCGGUUGCAGAUGAGGCUUGCUUACUUGCUCUUCUCCACUUCGAAGAGCCUUAACAUUCUAUCGGGUAAAGUGUCACCAAAUUCCUUGAAGGAGGCAAAGAAGUUUGCUCAAAAGACUAGCAACAUAUCCAAUAGCUGGACAUAUUUGAUUCAGUCAAUUGAAGAAAAUAGAGUUUCAUUUACACAGGCAAAAGAUAGUUUAUUUGAAAUUGCUUUAAAAAACAGGCUGAAGGACUGGCUGUUGGAAAGAAUAAUUUACGGCAGUAAAACAACCGAAUAUGAUGCUCAAGGUCAAGGAGUGAUUCAUUUGUGUGCUAUUCUUGGUUAUACAUGGGCUAUUUAUCUAUUUUCAUGGUCUGGCCUUUCACUGGAUUUUCGUGAUAAACAUGGAUGGACAGCUCUUCAUUGGGCAGCAUAUUACGGCCGGUACAUGCUUUUUGCCAUCGUAAAUAUUUACUUUUCACAGUACUUAAAUUUCCUAAAUUCACUGCAUGAAUUUUGAAGCUUGCUGCAUGUUUUGUAAACUGGAACCUCUUAAGCAUUUUUUGUCCGAAGUGAUGACAGUAAUGUUGUCUAUUGUGAAUGCAUUUUUCUUUGUUCCUUUUCUGUGAGUGUUAUGAAACUUAAAGAUGUUGAAUAUAUUAACAGUCUUGUUUCCACGUGAUCUUAUUUCUCUCAGUAAUUUGUUUCAAGCAGCUUUGGAUUAUUUAUUUGAUUUAAAAAACCUUACUUUGCAGGGAAAAAAUGGUUGCUGUUCUUUUAUCUGCAGGGGCAAAGCCGAACUUGGUGAUGGACCCCACCACCCAAAACCCGAGCGGUUGCACUGCUGCUGAUCUUGCGUCUUUGAAUGGUUAUGAUGGGCUAGCUGCUUAUCUUUCUGAAGAGGCUCUAGUGGCGCAGUUCAACGAUAUGGCACUAGCUGGAAAUGCCAGCGGGUCUCUUCAAACCAGUAGAAUAGAGGCAACAAACCUCGUUAACCUUAACGAAGAUGAACUGUAUUUGAGGGAAACUUUAGCUGCUUAUAGGACAGCCGCUGAUGCAGCUGCGCGCAUAAACACUGCAUUCAGGGCACACUCUUUCAAAGUUCGAGCUAAAGCAGUUGAGUCUUACAAUGCAGAGGACGAAGCAAGAAGUAUAAUUGCUGCUAUGAAGAUUCAACAUGCCUUCCGCAACUACGAGGCUAAAAGAAAAAUGGCUGCUGCUGCCCGCAUCCAAUAUAGGUUCCGUACUUGGAAAAUGCAUAAAGAUUUCCUAAAUAUGCGCCGCCAGGCUAUCAAAAUCCAAGUAAGUGCUCUCCCUUUUCUUACAGAUUUCGUGUUUACUUGUGUUCUAUGUAUUAUUUCAAAAUCCCUUUAUUUUUGUUGUUUACUGUGAACAAGCAUGAUUUCUCUUUAAUUGGACCAAUUAAACUAGGAUUUACAAAUUUCCUAUUUUCUCAUAUUCACAAAGGUUCAGGAAUUCAUGCUUUAAUAGCUUUUUCUUAAACAAAUUUCUUAUUUUAUCUGGAUUUCUGAUUUUUUGACACAGUAUUAACUUUUUAUUUAUCUGGUUUUUCUUUCCGAGGAAGUGAGGAUUGCUUAGAAUAGGAAAGAUUCUUCGACAUUUGACAUUGCAUGAAAAUUUAAAUACAGGCUGCUUUCCGGGGCUUCCAAGCAAGGAGGCAGUACCAUAAGAUUGUAUGGUCGGUUGGUGUGCUUGAAAAAGCAAUUUUGCGAUGGCGAUUAAGGAGAAAAGGUUUUCGUGGACUACAAAUAACCACAGACGAAGCAGUUGAAGAGCAAAGGCAGGAAACUUACAUAGAAGAGGCCUACUACAUAAGCAGCCGAAAACAAGCUGAAGAACGUGUUGAGAAAGCUGUUAUACGAGUUCAAUCUAUGUUCCGUUCAAAGAAAGCACAGCAAGAAUACCGGAGAAUGAAGUUAGCUCAUGAUUUAGCAACGGUAUGUGAAGUUGUCUUAAAGAAAUUUCUAUUUUGUACAUCAGUUUACCAACACAAAUCCUUUUUAUUUUUUUGCAGUUGGAAUAUGAAAGCCUUAUCGGCCCUCUUUCGGAUAUGAUGCCCAAAGACCAUAGAAAUUAGAGGAUCGGAGAAAAGUAGUAUAACAACAUGGUAGUUCCAUAUGUAAGUAUAUUAGAACAUUAGAAACAUAAGAUCUAUCUUCCUCUUUGAUAUGUUACCGUAAAACCGGAGUAUAUAUGUUGUAUGUAUCUAGUUUGUUACAAAUGUAUCUUACUCUAGAAUUAGGUUAACAUCUGGUAAAAAGCUUGUGAGGUAAACCUAUAUGUAUAUAUAGGUGUAUGACUAAUUGUGCAUGAAUCACGUUGUGUGUAAGUUGAUACUGAAUUAGAUGAUAAUUGGUAUCGAUGUAUUUAGUUCUUUUUGUUUGAUGAUCACAAAUAGAGUUGUUACACAUGUUAAUAGCAAAUCUCAAUCUUCGAUCUAAAAUUUAGUUUGAAGGUAUGAUAUUUAGUGUUUGUAUCUUUUUAAUAUCGUCUAUCGACAUAGGCAAUCGACAAAUUCUCACUUCUGUUUAUGGAUGAAAGAUAGAAUUGACUAAUUCAUAGCUUUGUAAGCUUGAAUCUCAUAAUAUUUUUGCUAGCUUUCCAAACCUUGUUUUAAUUCACACAAUGAAAAGAAGCAAAAGGUUUGGAAAAUAAUGUGUCGGAUAAAGAAAAUUGACAUAGAGAAAGCUCCAGCCAUAAGAUGUUUGAGGUUUGGAAAUUUGAGAAGAAAUUGUGUGAGCUUCACUUUGAAUUGCUCAAACAUGUCAAAUUAUCUCUAAAAAUGAAUUAUUCCUACUUGAGUUGAGUUAAAUUUUGGACUAUAAAUACUAAAAUAUUUAAAUGACAUUUUCAUAGAUUAUUUUCAUUGAUAUUAUUAGAAACAAGAACUAAAUAUCAAAUAUAGUGAGAUGGAACUGGACAAUUAUAAAUGUAUCUAAUAUCCAUGAAAAUAGCAGUAUUCAUACCCUCCCUAAUCAAACCUGAAUAAUUUCCAUGUUUAAGCUUAUAAUAUUAAAAGAAGUAAUGUGUCUAUCAAAAAAGUAAUAUGCAGUUUCAUAUAUAUCCGAAAAAAGAGCUUAACAGUAGGCCUAACAAAGCAAAAACAAAGGCAGGAAUACAGCGGCACAGCAAUAAAAAAGGUUUAGGAAGAUAUUAUCUACUUAAUAUAUUGAGAGACCCAUUUGAAGCCAUCACCAUAUCCCAUUUUGCGAACAAUGCUGCACAUAAACACCUCAAGGGGUCGAACGGAGGAGUUUGUAAGAUUGACCUUGCCCUUCCCAGUCGUGAAAUUGGUCAGCCCAAGAUGAUAACGAAGCUCAUCUUCUGAAGCUGCGUACGGAAUGUCAAUCUUAUUGCCUAGAAUUAGAAAAGGAACAUUGGCCAAUGCUUCAUCUGAAAGCAGCGCAUCUAAUUCCCUCUUCGACUCUGCAAAUCUUUCCUUGUCGUAUGCAUCCACCAAAUAUACCACUGCAUCAACCUGCUCACAACAUUAAUUACACUUUUGCGCCUAUACACAUAAAUCCAUACAUACAAACAAUUACAUUCUAAAGGGGAGAGAGGAAGGGGUUUCAUAGGGACUGAAAAUCCUACACUGCAUGCCAACACUUGGAAACCAGAAGCUUGUUGGGUUUUUAUGUUUUCACAUAUAAUCCAUUGUUGAUAUCAAUUGAAAAUCCAUUGAUGUAUGGAAAAGCUACAAGUAGGACACUUCCUAUGAAUUAAAAGAGAAUGGUGCUUUCAAUGAUAUACUAUAUUGCUCGGCCUCUUAUUUUAUUUUAUUUUUUCCUGAAGUAACACAGGGAGAUAGGAUAUGACCUCCAAGUAUCCUCCAAAUACAUGAAAAAGAAACUUAGAAACGACUAAACAUUCCCGUAUCCAACACUCACACGUUAAUCCGAGUGACCAUGGAUGCAAUAUACAUUGUUAAUAUUUGCCAAUCAUGAUUCAGAUAAACACUAUGAAACUUUAUUUGGGAUUAUAAAGGCAGAAUUAGCCAACCAAAUUAGAUUACUUGGAAAAUGACUCAAGCAGAUAAAAAUAUACAUAAAAAAAAACCCACAUGAAACAGAGAAAUUUAUGAAGAUUUAGGGAUCAUAAAUGAGCAAAAACUGGAAAAAUAAAUGGAAGCAAAUCCAAAUCCAAAGCUAAAUUUAAAUCUAAAUCUAUUAUUGAUAAGCAUUGAAGCCAGACCACUGUUCUUUGCCAGUUAAAUAGAAUCAACAGAUGAAAUCUAUUGUUUGAUAAAGAUUCAACCCCAUAAUUAUAUAUAAAUGAUGAAGAUCUGACAAAAUCAAAUACCAUUAUAAUAAAAAGAAUAUUACCUUAGCAUAGUAAUCCUUCCAGACACGGCGAGCGAUUUGGUGACCACCCAAAUCAAAAGCUUUGAACUUGAUUUUGCCUAUACUCAAUUCCUCAGAUGUUGGGUGCUGGGUUGGUUGAUGUUGAACUAAUCUCUGCAAAUUACAGUUACGCAAAAUCAUCAAUGUUUCAACAACCCACAAAAUACAAAAAAAGGGGGAAAUUUUUGAAGAAAAUUGUGUUUUACCUCAUCUUUCAACAUGUGAAGAAGAGUGGUCUUGCCAGCAUUGUCAAGUCCUAAAAACAAAAUCUUGGCUUCUUUUUGCCACAAACCCAAAGAUGCAAGAACCCCAUAAAACCAAUCAAAUAAAAACAUGGCUUGGUUUUUUUUUUCUUUUUCUCCCUUGAUUGCAAUGAUAGAUCCAAAGCUUGGAUCUUUGAAAGGGGGAAAAGAAGAAAUAAAUGUGUAUAUAUAAGCUUGCAAGGAAUUAAGAGGGGUUGAAUUGAAACGAAUGUGAAAACAUAAUGUUAUAUUUAUACAAAUAUUUUUAUUUUUCCAGCUAAUGAAUGGGUUACAUUUACAUUAUUGCAUUACACAGCUCAAUCUCUUGACUAAUUUAUUGCACCUCUGUUGUUGGUCAUGUUACUGUCAAAUUUCUCUCUUUUUUAAUUAAUUUUAUAAACAUUAAUUGAUGUCUAGACUCUAGUAUAUGCCCAAAAAAAGACAAUAUUUUUUUGAGGAAAUAAUUAAAAUAAUUUGUGUUUAAUAUUUUUAAUUUUUUUGUACCAAAAAUAUUUUAAAUAUUUUAUGUGUUUUACACGCUCCUGGUGGACUCUAUAUCUGUAGUUUUUAAUUUUCAAAAAUAUAAUAAAAAUUAAAUAUUCUUUGAAAAUAUAAAUAAUAGCUGCUAACAUGGAUUUUUUUUUUAUUAAUUUUCAGUUCCAUUAUUAAAUAAGUUACCCUAAUCUCAAUUACUCAUGGAACUGAUUACUCACAAAAGGUUUAUAAUUGUACAAGUAUGAUGCCCGCACGAUAAAUAACAUGUAAAAUUUAUUUGAUAGAAUUUAUAUUUUAGAUUUUAAAAAAAUUAUAUAAAAUUUAGAGUCAGUGAUAGUUUUAAAAAAUAUAGUAGAUUCUGAUAAAUAUUAAAAUUAUUCAUAAAUUUUGAUAUAAUUUAUAAUGUUAUAUAUCAAUUUUAAGUUCAUACAUUUGUAUUUUGAAUAACUCAUUAUCUAUGUAGCAUAAUUUUCUGUUAAAGGGAUGAUAAUUAAUGUCUAAAAACACAAGGAUUUGUGUUUGCCCCCAAAGUUUUCUAAAGUUUUUAGCUUCAUUUGUUUUAUUUCAUAAAUUAAUACAAAAUGGUAUCUAAAUAUUGAUUUGGUAAAAUAAUAUUUGGUAACAUUUUUAGUUUAGGUUGUGUUUCUCCUAUUAGAAAAUAGAUUGAGUUUAUGAAAAAAUUAAUAUUUUCUGGUGUUUGGAUGAUUCUGUAUAAAUUAUUUUUUAUUGUUUGACAAAUUUUAUAGAAAUCAUUUUCUAAAAGUUAAUUUUUCAAUGAAACAAACUCAACAUAAAAUAUAUUAUAUAUAUAUAUAUAUAUAUUAGCAUUUCCUUUUGAAAAUAAAAAGUUUAUUUUAUAACAAUUAAUAUCAUAUAUAAACUUAACAAUUAAAUUGCUUAAUUAAAAUUUACUUUAAAUUACAAUAUUUGUUAAAGCAUGAUUUAAACAAACACUCAUAUUUAUAUUAAAAAAAUUCAUAUUUUACUAUAAAAUAUUUAUUUAAAUAUUUAUAAAUUGUAAUAUAUAUAUUUAUUAUUAAAAUUUUAAUAUAAAUAUUUUCAAUAAUAUAUCAAGAAUAUGAUUUAAAAUAUAAUAAUAUUAUUGUUAAAUUUAUUAUUAGAAUAAAAUUAUAAAAUUAAAUAAUUUAUUAAAGUAACAAAUCAUAGUAAUAGUUUAUUAUAUUAUUAAAUAUAAAUAAUUAAAUAUGUAUGCUUAAUAAUAUUAUACAUUAUAAUAUUUGAUUAUUAAUAUUUUAAAAAUUAAAGUUAAAAAUUUAUUAUAAAUAUAAUAAUAUUAGAUUUGGUUCAAGUUAAUUUUUAUAUUAAAGUAAAAGUACUCAUAAAACAUUUAUUUUUCGAAAAAUAAUUUACGUUUUUCUAAAGGGUAAGUCAAUUUAUAAAAAAAUGAGUUUAUUUUUUAUUGCCUUAUAAGUCAUUUUUUGUUGACCAAAUUGUUUUCUAUGAAACAAACACACGAAAACGCAAAAAACAUUUUUAGUAAGUCAUUUUUUGUGAAACAUAUACACCCUUAAUUUGGUAAACUAAUACAAAACAAUGUCUAAAUAUUAAUUUGGUAAGAAAAUAAUGUUAAAUAAUUACAGUAUCUAAAUAAAAAAUUAUAUUAAAUAUUUAUUUGAUUAAAAUAAACUUAAAUAAUUACAAUAUUUAAUGGAAAUUGAGCAUUUAACUUUUUAUUUUUUAAAAUGUUAAUUUAGGUUAUCAAGACUAGCUCGAAUUUAAAAACACUUUGUUCAAAAUAGGCCUAACCCGUAAUUUUGAAAAUGUCUACUUUAUAUAAUUAUCUUGACCCCCUUAUAAAUAUUUCUGGCUUCACUCCUAGUUAAGUCAUGUGUAAAUUGUUGACUUCAUUUUAUUAGGUUAAAGAAUAAACAAAUAAAUUUAAAUUACAUUUUAUUAGGUUAAAAAAUAAACAAACAAAUUUAAAUUAUUUCCAUCUAGAUUAAAAAAAUAAACAUACUUGGGAAAAUAAAUUUUUAUUUCUUAGCUUUCUUAUUUUCCCCCAAGAAAUCUAUUUUUUUUAAUCUAGGUGAAAAUAAUUUAAAUUUAUCUAUUUUUUUCUUAACCUAAUAAAAUGUCAAGUCAACAAUUUACACACGACUUAACAAAUAGAUAAUUAAUGGAAUGUGAAAAUUGAACCAAAAUUAAAUCUUGAUGUAUACAAAUGCACCAAAUUAAAGUUGAUGUUUAACAUUACAAACUGUAUAACAGUUUUUGUAUAAUUUUUAUUUUUAUCUCAAAUGACAUCUAUUUAAAGAUUCCCUUUAGUGGGAUCAAGUGGGAUCCCUUUAAAUCAAAGAUUGAAAUAAAAGGGGAGAAAAAGAAACACCAAUCCACCAUUGAUGUUGCCACAUUGGAUUUCCAUAAAGAAAUGUGUUAUUAUCUUUCCACCAAUUCAACCGGUUCCAUCAACAAAAAAAGGAUUUUUCAUUUAAAGUUUCAGUUGAAAGAAAUAAUCAUCUCUAUUGCAGGACAGUAUUCUGGAUAAUUUUGAACUAAACAUAAACCCAUUGGAACUAGAGACCAAAUUUCUCUAUAUUAAAGGAAGAAAAGUACCAACUUUAGGAGUGGCCAUUUUGGAAUUCUUAAUAACUAAAGUUAAGCGAGAUUUCAGUGCAAAGUAUUGAGGAUAAUAUUGAAAUUGUUGUCAAACAUCUUAAAAAGUAAGUACCCGAGGGUUAUUUUGUAACACUCCUUACCCGCAUUCGAUGUCGGAACAGGGUACGAGGCAUUACCGGACUAAAAUACAAGCAUUCAUACAAAACCGAAACAAUAAUUUCCACUCAAAUUUAAAACUUUUCCAAAAACAUAUAUAUUGUCCCUAUUAUGAGCCUUUGAGGCUCGAAACAUACAUUGGAAAUGGUUCAGAACUAAACCGAGAAUUUUGAAAACUUUUUAGAAAACUUGGAAAAAAUUUCAUGUAAAAGGGGUCACACGCCCGUGUGACAUGGUGUAACACCCCUAACCCGUAUCCGUUGCCGAAAUGGGGUUACGAAGUAUUACUGAAAAAAUACAACUUUAGUACAUUCACAUAAUCACAUAGGUCAUAUUCGCAAAUAUAUAUAAAUAUAACUUCUUAUUAAUCAAAUAUUAAAUAUAAAUCAUACUGCCUAUACAAAUCAUAUCACAAGUUCAACUGAACCCAUAUCAAACAUAUAUCAUAUUUAAUUUUCAAUAGCCAUGUUCCAAAGUCAUACCACAAUUACUUUAAUACUACAUCACUCAAAUCAUGAGUAACACCUCAAAUCCGGCCUAGAAAUCUAGACCGAUUCGGAAUGCUAUAUUGACCACCGAAGUGAUUGUGAGAAAAUAUUUAUAUAAACAUCCUUUACUCGAUUUUUGAGAAACAUAAAUAUCACAUGUUCAAAAUCCGAAUAAUAAAAUGAUUAAAACAUAAAACAACAUUCUACCACAGUGUUAGUAAAAACCUUACUUUCAAGUGUUAGUAAAAAUCUUACUUUCAAAACUGAAUAACAAAUAGAAACCAGAAACCAUAACUAAUAAUUUACUAGUCUCAAACUGCUUGAGUCCUCCGCAUACCGAGUCCAGCAUCCAAAAUCCCAAAAUGUACCUGAAAGGGGAAAGAAAAGAGGGGGUAAGCUAUACAAGCUUAGUAUGAAUCAAACUAACUAACUACCGAAAUAGAAACAAACACAGUAAACCUGAAAAUAGUUCAGCAGCGGAACAUACUUACAGAGCGACUUAACAAAACAGACCAUAUGUAACUUUACAGUCAUACAGCUCUGUUAAACACAAUACUUAAAAUUCUCAGAAGUCACAAACUGUGCUUAAGCCCUUUCCCAGAAUCCGAGUCGAUUGGGCCUUAGCCCAUUACACAAAAUUCCUUUAGGCACGAGUGCCUUCCAGUCAAAUAUUGCAGUCAGAUUUCCCAGAAAAUCAGACAAAAAUGUUUCAAUCAAAUAGAUAUAUUAGUCACAAAAUCAAACAAAUGCAUAUGAGUACGAAUGAGUUAUAAAAUAACCUACCCAUCCAACCAACACACCAUCUCCGUCCCCCAUCAAACCUCAAUAGAGCUUUAAGCUCAUCCAACCAAUCACUCCAAAUACGACCUCGAAAAGCCUAUCCAACCUUAUAUCCCCUAUACAUUGUCCACGACCCUCAGGGAAUUGGGACUAUCAAAAAGCUGUACAGUGCCGCGCGGAAGACCGCGGUACAGACAUGCAGUAUAACUGCCAGAUCAGAUACGUUACGCAGCAAAGCUAGCAUAUACUGUACUGUGCUAUGCAGUGAACCACGGUACAGAUAUGCAAAAUAAAUUGCCAGAUCAGAUACUAGUACGUAGCGUAGCUAACGUACAUGCGGUACAGUGCAAGACAGUAAACCGCUAUACCGUUAAUAGAAAUGUCCACGACCCUCAGGGUGUUGGGACCGCCUAUGACCCUUUAGGUAUUAUCAAGGCAUUCAGAAUGCAGAUCAACUACCAGAUCGUAAAUCUCCCUUCUCUUCAACAUCCCACCCAAAAAAAAAGGUUUAUGCAGAUAAGUGUAUGCGAUGGUAUGAAUGCCGAUGCAUCAAUCCAUAACACAAUCUUAGACAGACAUUCAGAAACAUUCACUUGCAAUCAGUCAAUUAAUUACAGAAACGUGCACACUUGUGCACUCAGAUUCGAUACUUAACCUGUCAUGCUUCAAUCACAAACCGUACAUAAAUCGAGGUGAGAACAGAGUCAUAAUCACCCUCAGAAAUCUUAGUCGAAAGGUUGGAACAAAUAAAGAUCACGAAUACACUUAAAUCAACCUAAAAUCAAACUUGGCGAGAUAGGACCACAUGUCCGUGUGCUUCGACCGUGUGGAGCAAUCCGGGCUGUGUGGGGAGCCAUAAGCCUGUGUAAGGAGUAACACAUAGCCGUGUGGCAGAGGCACACACCCAUGUGGUGCAAAGGCACGGCUGUGUAUCAGGCCGUGUAAGACACUGUCCAAUUUCGUUAAAUUCAAGUGCAGAGUAAACACGGCUGUGUGAAGGUGUCACAUGCCCGUGUGGCAAUCAGACACGGCUGUGUGUCCCACAACCCACGCCCAUGUGGAAUCCCUAGGCCCCAAAUUGGCUACACGGCCGUGUGUCCCGAAACACACGCUCGUGUGAGAAUCCUAAAAAUUCCCAAAUCAGUCACACGGCCGUAUGGCCAGGCAGUGUGACUCCAAAUCUCAAAUCCCUAAUUCCCAAAUUCACACCCCGUGUGCCCUAAGGGACACGCCCGUGUGGUUUCCGACAAAAAUUCCCAAAUUAGCCACACGCCCGUGUGGCCAAGUAGUGUGGCACCCAUAACUAGCCUGAAACGCUAAUCCUUAAAUCCACACGGCCAUGUACCCCGGCACAAGCCCAUGUGGCCGUCGGGGCAGUCACGAAACCACCCCAAAAUAGCCCCGAAACCACUGCUUAAGCCACCGAAAAGAUCCCUAAGCCUUUUCCGAUCAACAGUACAUCAGAAAGUGGCGAUUUCUCACCACUUCCAUCGACUAACAUCCCAAAACAACUGUUUAACAUACCGACAAGAAAAACCGAAACAAUUACAUAAAACAAAAGGGAAAGUAGUCAUAGUUCGAAUCCCACACCUGUUUGACGGUAAAAAAGACACGACAGAUGAGCAGAAAAAUCUAAGCCCUUCGACCCCACAACACUACCGAUCCAAAAACAUAGAGAAGAAAACAAGAGCCAAUACCAAAAAAAAAAGAAUAGAAACUAACGUACAAAGUACAAGAAAAUCAAAGAGAAUAAAAUAAUAUAAAAUAGAAUAAUAACCCAAAACAAAUGAUAAGAUCCUUAAUCACAAUUAAUAAAACAAUUACUUAAACUUAAACUUAAAAUAGAAAUAACUAAAACGUUUUCUAAAACACCCACAUAGUAACUUAAACUCUAGACCUCAAACACACUAACACACACCUUAACCACUAGACCAACAGGCCCAUUCUUGUCACUAAACUGCACAACUUAGCUUAUAUGUGCAGCCUCCCCACUAUCCCUGCACUCAAAACCCAAAACUUCUAGGCCCACAAUUCGGGGCGUUACAUCAUGUGCUCAUCAUUUUAAUAUUAUUCGAACACCUAAUAAUAAAAAUAUAAACAAGCAUUUAAUUCAUAAAUCAUUCAUGCACAUAUUAGAUCAAAUAAACCAUAUACCCUAAUUUAUUAUUCAAUAGCAUUCACGGCAUUAACAACUUAGCAAUAUAGAUGUAUUAAGCAACAUUACACAUCGAAGUAUUAUGCAUAUCUAACCACAUCCAAAUUAUACAUUUCAAUCAUAAAUUAUGUGCACAUAUUUGUGUUCAUUAAUAGACUAACUUUAUCAAUUCAAGUCAUGUUUAACAUUAAUCAUCACAUAAAUUAAGCUAUACCUUGCGACUAAAUAAUAAUAUUAUACAAUUACACAUAAGCAUAUCCAAUGAUCAAAUUUUAUUUGCAACAUAAACCAAUAUAUAUAUUGCUCACUUGACUAGCAUUUACCAUUUUACAAGCAUUUUAACCUAGUCAAAAUAAGCCAAUUCCAAAUACCAUAAAUCCAACCAAAAUUUUACAUAUAAAACUCAACCGAUUUAUUUUCCAUACAACAAAUAAGACAUACACGUUCAUACUAUUAUAAUACUAAAUCAAAUUAACCAUAUCAACCAAUCAAACAUCCAUAUCCAAUCAUAGAAAAAUCCGCACAUAAUGGUGCUACUAAACUUAAUAUUAACAUAAUAUUUAAACACUUUACCACAUAAUUCAAUCACCAAUACCGAAAUACCAAAACCAAGCACAUCAAACAUAUUAAUCAAAAACAUAUAAAACCAAACUUAAGCAUAAUAAUCAAGCCAUUUUCGUAUGGCCUUAUAUACACAUUCAAAUUCAAACACAUUAAGACUAGCUUAUACAUAUAUGCACUUUCAAAACCAACCAAAACAAAUGCUAGCCUAUACAUGCCAUAAUUUCAUAGUUUAAUCUUUUAAAAUACCGCAAAGAUGAUUGAUAGUGUGACGAAGUUCCUUGAUGAUUCCCGAGCUUGUAACCAACUUUCAAAAAUCUAUAAAACAAUAAAUAAAUACUCACACAAUAAGCUUAAAUAGCUUAGUAAGUCAUAAGAAAAUAAUAAUCAAAUGAACAUUAGUAUUAAAUCAACUAAGCCAAAUCAAAUAAUCUUUAAUCAAAUACACAUUUUUCAAGCCUAAAACUCAUAUGCCAUCACAUGAACCAUAUCUAAUUAUUAGCUAAAUACACAUAUGUUCAUAAGCAUAUAUAAUUCUCACUUUCAUAAUUCAUAUUUCGUAUGUUCAUCUUAACUAUAUACUUACCUUAUCUUUCAAAUCAUUUAACUUAGCACAUACCGACAUUUUAGCUCAAUUUCACAUUCGAUCUUAGCUCAAUAUUGCCCGUUGAACCAUUCAGAAUUGAAUAGGAUACUCGGAUAAUCACACAUAUCGUACAAUGCCAACGUAUCAGACGUGGUCUUACAUGUAAUCCCAUAUCGAUGCCACUGUCCCGGACAGGGUCUUACUCGCACACAUAUAUCGGAAUCACAUAUCGAUGCCAACGUAUUAAAUGUGGUCUUACUCGCACACAUAUAUCGAUGCCAUGGUCUUAAUCGCACAUCACAUAUCAGAAUCUUAGGUCAUGACAUAUGUAUCCUAGAUAUUCCUAAGGUUCAUACGGGGCUCUCGGACGUUGUAACUCGAUUGAAUCGAACUCGUAACAUAGUUCCCAAGUAUAUACACAUUCAGCUAUCAUAAAUACAAGCUCAUAAAAUUUAAAUCAGUAUUUUACAUUCACAUACAUCCAAAAUUUACAGCAUUUAUUUGCUUAUAAACUUACCUGGGAUAACUAUAAUCGAAACGAGACGACUAAUCGAUAACUUUGGUUUUCCCCCGAUCCAAAUCCGAUUUCUUUGGUUCUUAAUCUAAAAAUAUUCAAAUUAAACUCAUUCAAACAUAUUUUCACUCAACUUAGUCCAAAAAACAUAAAUGGGCAAAUUACCAUUUUGCCACUAACAUUUCACACUUUUUAUAAUUUAGUCCAAAUUGCACAAAACACAAAACAUAAAAAAUUUGCACACACCAUGCUUAGGCCGAAUACUACUCAUGUUCAUAAAAGUCCAUACAUUUCAUUUAUUUCACAUUUUAGUCCCUCAGUUUAUUAUUUUUACAAAUUACCCCUAAUUACUCAAAUUCAUCAAAACUUCAAAUACAAAACAUGUUAAACUAUCACAUAUCUUUUAUUUUCCAACAUCAAACAAAAAAAUCAAAAGCUUUCAACAAUGGAAAAAUAUAAAAUCAUCAUCAAAUUCAAAAAUUGAGACAUGGGUUUGAUAGAUAGCAUAGUAACGAUCUCAAAAACGUAAAAAUUUUCAAAAACCGAACAAAAACUAACCUUGAAUCAAGCUUCCAAAUUUCCGAAUGUUCAAAAGCUUUUAACCUCUUUUUCUUUCUUAAGAUUCAGCCAAAAACAUGAACAAAAUGCAUGUCUUUUAAUUUUGUUUUAUUAUAUUACAUAUUAUUUCAUAAUUUACUAUAAUAACCUUUAUAAAUUAAUAUAACAACUUAAUAUUGGUUGUCUACUUUCGUCCAUCCUAUUAUUAACUAGCCUAAUUUCAAUUUAAGGCCUCCAAAUUAAAAGAACAACAACAAUUCAUCACUUACACAAUUAGCUAGUCACUUUUACAUUUUACGCGAUUAAGUCUUUUUUAUUAAAUCGGCACUCAAACGAUAAAAUUAAAAGACAACAAUUUCACACAUAUAAAUUUACACAUUAUAAACAUAGAAAAUAAUAUUAAAAUAUUUUUCUGACUUAGAUUCAUGGUCUCAAAACCACCGUUCCGAAUAGGGUCUAAAUUGGGUUGUUACACAUGGGACACGCCCGUGUGCCAUGGCCGUGUAGCCCAUAUGGCCGUGUCUCUGGGGCGUGUACCUCUCUGACUUGUAUCUAUGAAAAAUCUUAAGUCACACGGCUUGAGCACACGUCCAUGUUGCUAGGCCCUGUGGUAAUUAAAAUUUCAAAUUUUAAGUACAGACUUCACACGACUAUAUCACACGGCCAUGUUGGAGCUCGUGUGUGUCACACGCCAAGCCACACGCCUGUGUGCUAAGCCGCGUGUCUAAACCUGGAUAUUUUGUUUCUUAUUUUUAAGAUGCAGGGGACACACGACCUUAACACAUGCCCAUAUGGCAGGUCGUGUGUCACAUACAGCCUAGACACACGCCCGUGUGUCUGUCCGUAUGGAUGAAAAUAGGCCAUUUAAGACCACUUUUCUCACUCUCAUUCUAUCUUCCUGCACAAAAUCACAUUUAUAUACUAAUUAAGUCCAACCAAUCAACCAUUUCAAUCCAAACAUGUAUAUUUCAUUAUCUAACACAACCAUCAGAUUCAAUUUACUUUGCAAACUUAAUCAUUCAUUCUAUUACAUUAUUAUUUCAACCUCUAUACAUGCCAUAUAAAUCAAAAAGUUGUUUAAAAAAAAUCUAUCAGAGUAAACCUGGAUAGUGUGAUCCUCGAUGUCAAUCCGAUCCUCCGAAUGUAUAUACAUCAAACUACAAGAACAAUAAACAUACACAAGUAAGCUUAUAGAAGCUUAGUAAGCUCAUAGGCAUAUAAAAUAAAUCUUACCGAACAUCUUACAAGAAUCAUAUUAUAUAGGCCCAAAUUUGCCUGGGCCCGUACAAACAUAAACCAAAAUAAUAAUAAAACCAAACCAGCAGUCCAAGUCCGGUUACAACCAAUACAAGCCCAAUAACAAACCCAAAUACCCAUUUACAGUAGGGGCUAAUGGCCCAAAAUCUAAACCUAGGUUUGACUAAACUAGUAAACCCUAGUAGCAAGGAGCACCGCAGCCCCCAGCCUUUAGCGCUGUACGACCUCUUUGCGCCACAGCCACGCCCACGCCCACGCCUCCACGUCAACGAGCCGUACGCCACAGCUGGCCCUGUACCCCAUACCUGCAAACAAAAAACAAUAUAGCAGUACAAAAUAGCAAAAAAUGAUGUAUUUUUCUUUUGAUUUCGGCUAUAUAAAGCCGUAGAAGGCAGAUGUAUUUUUCUUCUUGGUUUUUUUUAUGAAAUACUGAAAUAAAAAAAAAGCCACCAAAAUUAAAAGGUGAUUUCUGAUUCAAGAUUCCUGAAGCUUUUGAUUUUUUUCUUUCAAUUUAUUUCCUUUGGCCUUUCGCUUGUGCAUUUGAAAACAAAAAAAAAAUAAAGUGAAGCUUUACCAAUACACCGUGGAUCCUUAUUGCUUCGUUGAAGAUCGAGGUAUAGAAGGAACCUUGAGGCUAAAAAAAAACAAAGCUUCAAGGUAUUGGUCGCCGUUUAGGGAGGCGGAUCGGUAUUUGAAAGAAGGGAUCUAAGGUCUGCUAGUUGAGGAGAAAAGGGCUAGGGUUAAUUCGGCCAAAUUUAGCUUGAUUUUAACCUUUGUAAAGGGCAGAAAAUGGCAGCAUUCAGAGUCAAUUGCAAUGGCUCCAAAACGGUGACGUAUGGGCACAAACCCGAUGACCCGACCCAGAUGCGAUCAGAUUUGCGCGUUCUAGGUCUUUGAGGGUUAAUUACGCGAUGUGUCCCUUUUUUCUUGUAUUGAUCUAUAAUUAGGUCCAAUUAUGUCUUAUUUAUUUUUAUUUCUUUCCUAGGAUUUGAGCAACAUUUUAAUUUAAUCUUCAUUUAAACGCUGUGUUUUGUGAGUUGGGAUAUUUGCAUUUUAAAUCCCUGUUUAUUUAAGCGCGGUUCAUUCUAGUCUUUAACUAUGUUUAAGUAAUUUUAUUUGUUUAUAAAUUGUUCUCUUGAUUUAUUUUUAUUCCAGUUGAGUUUAUUUAGUUUAAUGAUUUUUUUUAUUUUUUGUAUGUUUUUUUAAAAUAUAUUAUUUCUCAUUCUUUUAAAAUUAUCUCAUCAUAGUUUUUUUUAUAUUAAUCCUAUAUUAUUUUAGUUUGUAAUUUCUUUUAUUCAUAUAUAUUAAAAUUUCUAUUUUAAAACUUCUUUAUACGUGUCCUUUUGGUUUUCAAAAUUUAUUCAGUAUCUAUUUUAAAUAAUUUUAUAUGUCAUUAUGUUAUGCAUUAUUUUUCAUAUAUAUUGUCGAUUUCAUAUUGUUUUAUAUUCAUAUUAUUUAUUUAUUUAUUUUGGAAUUUACUCACACAUAUAUAUAUAUAUAUAUUCUUUUUUUAAAUUUGUUUAUACGUAAUUUAUCUCUUUUAAAGAUCUUAUUUUAUUAUAUAUAUAUUGACAUCCUCAUCUACUAUUUUUAUAUAUGUAUUAAUUCUAUUAAGUUUUUAUUUUACGUGCUAUCAAUUUUAAAGCAAUAUAUUUUAUUUUAGAUUAUUUUGGUAUUUCAUAUUUAUUUUUAUGUAAUAGUUAUUUUAAAAACUUCCUUUUCUUCUUUUAUUUUAAAUUCAUUUAUUAUCAUUCAAAAAUUGGUUUUAUAUUUUACUAGUUUGCUAUAUAAAUGUUAUAAAAUGUAUGCAUGUAUGUAUUUGGUUUUGAUUGUCAAUGUUGUUUGAAUAUAAUGUCUUGGGAAGUCAUUAUUAUUGUAUAUUUCAAAUUGUAUGUUCGAAUUGUUAUCUUUGUCAUUCAAUAAUGUAAUGUUGUAAUCAUGUAUAUUUAUUUUGUGCUUGAUCCUAUGCUUUCUUCUCCAACACAUUUGGGCUAAAUUUAUUUGUUUCAUUGUUUUGUACCACAUGUGAACUAAGUAAAAUGCGUUUUGAGCCGGCUUUACAAAUGUUUAUUUGAAAAUCUCCCAAAACAAAGGCAAUGUUUGAUGUUUGGAAACUCAAGGAAUCGUGCUCUAUCGUGCUGGGUUUCGAUUUCCUGUUUGUUCAAAAUAAUCAAAUAUUCCUUUAGAAUUUCACUCGUGUUUUCUAAAUUUUAAAACAAGGCAAUGUUCAAUGUUUGGAAAUUCGAGGAAUCGUGCCCUACCGUCCUGGGUUUCGGUUUUUCGUUGGACUAAAUAAUUGGGCAUCCUUUUGUAAUUUUCAACGUAUGAGUUUUUGGAAGUAAAAAAUUAAACGUAGUUUUGAAGGUAUAAAGGAUCAUGUCCUAUCGUGCUAGAUGUGAUGCUAUAUUCCUUUGAAAUAAGAGAAUUUUGACGAACAACUUGAGUUAUUCAAAUGUUUUAAAAGGAACCAUAUUUCAAAAUAUUUUAAACCUUAGACAUAAGGACAGUAUUUAAUCAAUUUGGUGCCAAUUUUGGGCUUAGUGAGGGUGCUAAUCCUUCCUCAUACGUAACCAGCUUCCGAACCCGUUUUCUCAAAUUUUCGUAGGCCGAAAUUGAUUUAAAUGGAAUAAAAUAUUUUAUUAGGUGAUCCAAUCAUACCUAAACAAAAAGGAUUGAUGGCGACUCCACACCUUGUUUUAAAGUCGAUCCCCAUUUUUUUUCAAACAAAAAAUGGUUUCGACACAUAUAAUAUACAAUUUCACUAAUUCCUCCUGUCAAUCACAAAAUCAGUGAUAAGUUCACUUGUUUGAAUUCAAUGUCACUUUAUAACCAAUUUUAAUAUCUUGGGCACAUUUAUCAUUUACCUUUUUUAAUCAAAUUAGGGAACAAUUACAGAAUUGUGUACUUCGUUUUCACAAUGCCAUAGUAAAACUAUGGUCUUACACAUAGUCAUAUAUUGCACACCGAAUCUAUAUAGCCCAUCCAUGGUCUUACACGGAUCACAUAUCACACUAAUGCCAUUUCCCAUAUAUGGUCUUACACAGAAGCACAUAAUCACAUCACACCGAUGCCAUAGCCCAGCUAUGGUCUUAUACGGAAAUCACAUAUCACAUGUUGCCAUGGUCCAACCAUGGUCUUUUCCGCCAAUUCAUUUUAGCCACUGAACGAAAGUACUCAAAUCCGUCAUUCCACCUAAUUUGUACUUUUACUUAAACAUUAUUUCACAAUUAUCACAAUUUAAUAACAUUCAUAUGUAAUAAUAUACCAUAGAAUUCAUGAAAUUUUCAUAACAAAACAUUGAAUUUAGCCAUAUGAAUUUACCUGGCUAAUUUGCAAAAGUUGUAAAAAUUUUAGGGACUAUUCUGACAAUUUUUCCUUUCCAAGAUUCGCUUCGGGUUCUUGAUCUAUAAUUAUAAGAUCAUUCAAUUAUUAAAAUUUAUCACAAUUUUACUCUAUUUCAUACUUUUUGCCCUUGAAUUUUGAAAUUACUCUUUUACCCUAAACUUUUCAAUUUUUACAAUUUGGUCCCUCAUCAAUUUAUUCAUCAAUAGAAAUAAUUCUUCUCAAAAAACACUUUAUCUAGACAUUAUGAACUACUUCACAGCCUUUGAUAUUCAAAAUUUCAACACAAAACCCUAAUUUGAACAACUCUCACAAUUAGGUCCUAAAAAUCAAUUUCUAUUUAAUUAUCUCCAUAAAAUCAUCACAAAAUAAAAUUAAAGCUUUAAUUCCAUGCUAAAUCAUCAUAAAAUUCCAGCACUUAUUCAUGACAACUUUCUAAAUCAUUCAUAAAAUCAAAAACUAAUGAAUUAGAUAAUAGGACCUAGUUGUAAAAGUCUUAAAAUCACAAAAAUUACAAGAAAAAAUCAAGAAUUUAGCUUAGAUGUAGUAAAAUAUGAGAAACCAGCCUAAGAAAACCCUUCAAUGGUAUUUUUGGCUGAAGAGGAUGAAGAAAAAUGAAGAGAAUUUUAGAUAUUCUAAUUUAAUCCAAUUUUUAGCUAUUUAAUUUCAACUUAAUUACUAUUUUGCCCUUAGUUCACACUAUUUUUCAGCCAUUCACUUACCUAACCGUCCAGCCCAUUUUUUUUGGGUCAAAUUUCUCUUUAAUUCCCUCUUAUUUAUUAUUUAAGCCAUUUAACCACUUCCCACAGUUUUACAUCUUAUUUAAUUUAGUCUUUUUUAUUCAAUUAACUACCGAAAUGUUAAAAUUUCCUAACGAAACUUUAAUACUAUCUUAUUAACACUCCAUAAAUAUUUGGUUUAUGAAUUUUGAGGUCUCGAUACCUCGUUCUUGACUCAUUUGACCUAAUAAUUUCUUUUAAUUUCAAAAAAUUCACCAAUUCGAAAAUAUUUCUAAAAUCACACCUAACUUUUACUUAUUAAUUUCUAAAUUAAUAAACUCAAAUGUUGGAUUUAGUGAUUUUGAAUCACUGUUCUGACACCACUGAAAUUUGAGUCGUUACAUAUUUGGGCUGUGUCCAUUACACCAUGGACAAUAAUCUUAGUCGGAGUCAAAUCCUUACCUUUCAACCCAAAGCUAAACAUAUUCCCAUAGGUAUUCUAUUUAUUGAAGAUCCAUUUUCUAAAAAUGUCCCCUUUCGGUUAACCAGUUUCCAAGGGGGAAAAGCAAGCUGAACCUCUAAUCGACCUAGACACAUAAAAAUUUCUCGGCAUGAAGAAAGAUUUGAGAUUCCGUAAGUAACAAAGUGAGUUCUUUCUAAGGGAAAAGGAAAAUGAAAUACGAACAACUACAUUGGUCGUAAUAGGUCAACUUUCAUGCUAGUUCUUUCUCCAGCAUGAAAGUUCCAUUUCAGGAAAGGAUGAUGUACAAUGAUACUUUCUUUUUUUUCGAGCCCUGCUUUGGCCUCUAGUUUGAUGGUUGCACAUGCUAAAAAUCUGGUACAUUCCAUUUUGUUUCCCAUCUUAGUCUUUUGUCCAGCUAUGCUAUCUACUUUGUGCAUUCAGGAACUAUAAUUCAGGAUACCAUUUGGUAGGUGUAGUACUACUUCUAGCCAUGAAGUAGGUCUACAAGUCUUAUAGAGUCAUUCCCGAGUGCAAGCGAUGAUAAAGAGAACUCGCUAGGUGACGAGACGGCAUUAGUUGCACUAUAGCUCGAGAGCCCUAUGUAUCGCCUUAAAAGCUCAUAGGGUGGGGGAGGAUAGACCUCCUGUGUCUAUAGUGACAUGUCUGAAAAGGACACAUGCUAAACUUGACCGACGAUGGCUCCAUACCGCAAUACAUAUGGUUGGGAAUCGAAAAAAGCUUAAAAGUGAAAUUCGACUUUCCCAUACCAUUGCGGGAGGUGAACACUCGGGAGGGCUAGCCACUAAAAACUAAGAACAGCUAUUACAUUUGCGGGCUAUAGCCAAUAGCCCACCCACUGGUGUCAACACUAGAGUUGAUAACAUAUAAACAAUGAAAACUGUAGGGAACAUUCGGGUGCUAUAGCCAAUAGCUCCCCCCACUCGUGUUCACACUAGCGCGUUCACACUAAAGCUGGUAAAUAUAAAUAUUUAGAACAGCAAGAACAUGUUCACACUAAUGCUGAUAAAGAUAAAUUAAAGACUUUUAAAAGAAACUCUUAAAAACUAGAGAUAGCCUACCCCUUGCCCCCUAGAAGGGGGAACCGAUUAACAGUAGGAACAUUCAGGCGCUAUGGCCAAUAGCCCUGUAACACUCCUAACCCAUAUCUAUCGAUAGAAUAGAGUUACAAAACAUUAGCAGAAUAUACAGAUUAAAACAGAUAUUUCAUUUUAUACAAUAUUCAUUUCAAAAAUCAAACAUAAAUUCCCUUAUAUGAACCCUCAAGGUCUAAAACAUGCAUUAGAAAUGAGUUGGGACUAAACCAAGUACUCAGAGAAUUUUUCAAAAAAUCUCAAAAUUUUUCCUAGGUGCAUGGGUCACACGCUCGUGUGGUCAGGCUGUGUAACUCUCUGACUUGGGUCACACGGCCAUGAAACACGCCCGUGUGCUAGGCCGUGUGUAAAUACUUGGGCAUUCUGUUUUGAAACUUUAAAGAUACAUGGGACAUACAGCCAGGUCACACCCCCAUGUGCUAGGCCGUGUGUCACACAUGGUUGAGACACAUGCCUGUGUCUUUACCCAUGUGGACGAAAAUAGGCUAUUUUCCAAGUUAUAUUUCUCACUCCGUUUUGUCAUCUUCCUACACCAACACUUUAACACAUUCACAAGCUAUUAUAAAUCAUUUAACCCAACUCAAAAUCAAGUCCUAUACAUGAUAUAAUACCUCAUAUAAUCAAGUAUACACACUUACUUAAAUUACCAAGUUGACAUAUAUGCAUAUCUUAUCAAAUAUGCUAACUUAAUUCAAUCAUCAAUAUGCCAAUAUAAUUUCUAUCAAUCAACCAUUUCAAACACAUACCAAAUGAUCGUGAUUUUGUGUGAUAAGUUUUAUAAAUUUAUAAUGAAUCGUUUUUGAAACUAACUAUUAUCACGAUGAAGGCAAGUGUAUCUAUCGAACAGUAGUAUAGUUUUAGCAAGACCGAAUUGUUGAACCCAAAGGAACUAAAAGUACUAGUAAUGACUGUCUUUUUAUUAUCUAACCUAAAAAUAAUGGGGCUGUUUUAACUAACUAAUUAACUAAACUAAGAAAUCACAGAAAAUAGAAUUGGGGAAUGACUUUUAGAAAACUCGAUUGAUUGAGACAAUACCUAAGGAAAAAUCCACCUAGACUUUACUUGUUAUUCUGGCUCCGAAUCGGACGAUUUAUUCAUUUAACUUGUUCUGUAGAGAUCCCUAAGUUAUGUUAUUAUCCCUAUUCAAGACUAAUAACGUCUAAUCCCUAGAUUGAAUAAUUGAGACUUUUCUCUAAUUAACACCUUAGGGUUGCAUUAACUCGAUUUAUGGAUCCCCUUACUAGGUUUCACCCUAAUCUGGAAAAAUCUUGUCACCCUAUGUCUAGGCGUGCAAACA